UUCGCGCAGCUCGUGCCGAACGCGUACAUCCACUUAAUCUCUUUCAUAGCCGUCUGCCAGGAGGUGGGCCUCAGUCCCGGGCUCGAUCUAUUCUUUGCCCUGUUCACCGUUAGUGGUUCGAAAGAGCCCGGUCUUCGGCAACUCAACAAACGCCCCAACCGCACCGUCCCGAUCAAGACCCCUUCAAGCAACAAGGGGUGGCAUGAACAGUGGUUUUUUGCCAAGGGGACCGACCUCCAACUCCUUCCCCCCUGGGCCCAUCCAGCCGAUCAGGCGGCUAAGAUUUCGAAGUUCCCGAAGGGCCGAGCCGAUGCCUUCAAAACGUUCUACAAGCAAUGGCAAAGGACCCAAUGGAAUCUGGGGCUUCUGAUGAACGAAGCCUGGUUGUACAAACAUGGCUGUGAGUAUCUUUCUAUUUUUCAUUAUUUUUCCUCCUAUUUUCUGAAGCUUUCCAUGCCUUAACCCAUUUGUCCCUGUGCAGUGACUAUUUUCAAGCCCGAGGGCGUUGUCGACGCCUUCAUCCC
rnacentral:lncRNA from 1 species